rnacentral:rRNA from 1 species
UACGUAGGGGGCUAGCGUUGUCCGGAUUUAUUGGGCGUAAAGAGCGUGUAGGCGGCCAGGUAGGUCUGGUGUGAAAACUCGAGGCUCAACCUCGAGACGCCGAUGGAAACCAUCUGACUAGAGUCCGGAAGAGGAGAGUGGAAUUCCUGGUGUAGCGGUGAAAUGCGCAGAUAUCAGGAAGAACACCCGUGGCUAAGGCGGCUCUCUGGGACGGUACUGACGCUGAGACGCGAAAGCGUGGGGAGCGAACAGG